GAGUUGGAUCAUGGCUCAGAGUGAACGCUGGCGGUAGGCCUAACACAUGCAAGUCGAACGGCAGCACAGAGGAGCUUGCUCCUUGGGUGGCGAGUGGCGGACGGGUGAGGAAUACAUCGGAAUCUACUUUUUCGUGGGGGAUAACGUAGGGAAACUUACGCUAAUACCGCAUACGACCUACGGGUGAAAGCAGGGGACCUUCGGGCCUUGCGCGAUUGAAUGAGCCGAUGUCGGAUUAGCUAGUUGGCGGGGUAAAGGCCCACCAAGGCGACGAUCCGUAGCUGGUCUGAGAGGAUGAUCAGCCACACUGGAACUGAGACACGGUCCAGACUCCUACGGGAGGCAGCAGUGGGGAAUAUUGGACAAUGGGCGCAAGCCUGAUCCAGCCAUACCGCGUGGGUGAAGAAGGCCUUCGGGUUGUAAAGCCCUUUUGUUGGGAAAGAAAUCCAGCCGGCUAAUACCUGGUUGGGAUGACGGUACCCAAAGAAUAAGCACCGGCAAC
rnacentral:rRNA from 2 species